UGGUGUUUUAGCUCCCUUUCAGGACCACGUAUUUCACAAAGGUAAGGCAAGUCAUCACAACGGCCAGGAAUUAUUUCAUGCCUCCUUGUGAAGCAAUGAUUGCCAAGAAGGUGCUCACAGCCAGUUCGGCUGCAGUAUAAAUGGGCUCUUUAUCAAACCAGCUCCCUACCAAGCCCACCUGGCCUGUAUGUUUAUUGACUGGCUUAUUGACCAGAUCCAUAUAUGGUGGUAAUUAGUUAAAAGACUUCAAGCUUCAGCCCUUCAGUCUCACACAUAUUUGUACCCUAACAGAAAGCAAUAUGGUAAUUUAUGCAGGAAUCAGCGAUCAUCCUCUCAAGCUCCAAGAAACCCGGGUCCCAGUGAAGCUUCUGGGGGAAUAUCACCACCAAUAUAGACAGUAGUGAUCUCCUCUUUAGAGAAGACAGAGUGGUUGCAUUACAGAAUGGCAUCCCCUAUGCUAUGUACCUGGGGGAGGGUUUGCUUCCUGGCUUCCCGACUCAUACAAAUACCUAGUCUCAGCCUAUAUUGCAAAAGACUUUUAAACCACAGCUGCAAGAUACUACCCUGCUCAGUCUGAUAGCUCAGCAAUGUGACUUUACUAUUAGUUUCCUGGAAAAAGACAGAAAACAGAAGAACAGUCUUAAUCCCCCCACUUAGAGCAAGGGAGGGGGGUCACUACGAGCUCAUCAUGUCUCAGACAGCAGAGGACCUCUGCAAAAACCUUCUGCGUGGCUGCUGCCUGUGCAACCUUGUGCGUGCCCCAAAGGGAAGGCCAUGAUGAGAACUCAUGCUGUUGCACCCAACCACAAAGCACAACAUCUGAGGAAAUAUGGUUUUAUUCAGCCUGUCCCUCACUUCUGUAACAGAAGGACUCCACUCGCAAAGGCUCCCCCCAAGAGGAGAGACUGCUGGGGACUGAUCGCUCCUCCUGAAGAGAAAGCCCUUAUCAAAAAGCAGUCAUCAUCUUAAUUGCUGCCUCUGUCUGUUGGCAACAGAGAAGAAAUCAGAGCUAUUUCUGAGUUAGUGAGCUUGCACAGACAGGGCCAACAUACUGCAGAGGCAACGCCAGCGGAUGUUGUGCUAGGAAUAAAUUGGACUCUAUAGCUUGAA